AUCAUGUCUGUGAGUAUAACAGAACUUAUCUAGCAGGCAAAACCCAGAGGACUAACUGUUCAGAAUUUUUUUUUCCUCCCAUCUCUCUUCCCUAUAUUGUCUUUGCCAUUGGAAAUUUAAUAGAAAUAUACUUUCAGUUCCUAUAUCUUCCACACGAUAUUGCCAGUGUUUGGAAUAUGGCUGAGGUUAUUUAUUUGUCUUAGCAGGAAGUAGGCCAACUCGGAACGGGGGACCCUUUUGUGAGUUGCACAAGAUGUGUAGAGCAGAGCUUUUUUCUUUUCGUUCAUGUAUUGAAUACAGAUUGCCCCGUCUACAAUUUGAUCAAUUUAUUAACGUUUAAAAAUACCCAAUGUUGUAUUACAAAAGUAGUUUGAAAUAUUUUGGCAAAGUUUAUAGGCAACUUUUGAAAUAUUUUGUAGUGAAUUUGCGUUUUUCUAAGCUGUUUUUUUCUGGAUCAAACAGGCUUUAUCAAUGGACAUUUUCAACAUAUAUGGAAGGAAUUAAUCGUACAAAAGGACCAAUUGUGAUGUUUAUGGGACAUAUUGGAGUGCCAACAAAAGAAGCUCAAAGGUCUACUCAAAAGCAUGUAGGAUGAAGACAAGUCAUCUCAAAGCUUUGUUUGGCUUCACCGAAUUUCUCAGGUCCACUCAAAAGCAUGUGGGAUGAAAAGACAAUUGUCAUCUCACAGCUUCUUCUGACUUCAUUGCUUUUCUCAGUCAUUAUUGAGGUUCAGUUGCCUAUUUCACUUAUGGGAGCGGCAGCUCCGGGCAGUGACAUCACCCUUAGAUGCUCUUUGUCUUCUUCUAAAAACCUGAACCUCAACCACCUGAUUGUCAACUGGCAGCAUGCAGAAUCAGUGGUGGUCCACAGCUAUUACCAUGGAAGAGAUCAGCUGGACAGAGUGUUGUUUACAAAGGAUGGACUCAUCUGUUUGAAGACCAGCUCGCUGUGGGAAAUGUCUCACUUAGACUGAGUGGUGUGCAGCCGAGUGACCAGGGCAAAAACACUUGUGAUGUGACAGAUGAACAGGCUAGCACCCUGGAAAACCUAAUACUUUUAGUGAGAUGUUAGAAAGUAUGUAUUUUUGUCCUUUCAGAUUUUUUAGGAAUCUUGCAUGUAUGGGGGAUAAAUAGACAUAAAAGUAUUAAACUAUCUGCGCAAAAUCAACUUAGUUAUCUACUUGCCUAAAGCCCUUUGCAGUCAGAAUUCUCCUUUGUUAAGAGUUGAAUAUGAGUAUUGUUGUUUCUGUUUACCCCUGGCCCCCUUCAAGAAUCCACAGCUCAGCUGUCUAUACAGUCAUCCUGUGACAGCUUCAUCAUCACCCUCACCUCCUCCCAGGGUUUCCCCCAGCCUGAUGUGUGGUGGACAGACUCCAUUGGAGGAGACAUCUACAAUUAGAGCCACUGCUAAAUCGGUCUGGAAAGCAGGGGGCGCUAUGAGGUCCACAGCUCCAUGGAGGUCAGGCCAAACAGUACACUCACCAUCAUUGCUGAAAUGAGACUGGAGGAUCUCAAUCAAAGCUUCACCCGCUCGCUCACCCUCCACCCACUCCCAGAAUGCUGUGAGCUGCCUCUUGCAACCGGGGGCAGACCGGCUUUGGUAUUAUUAGGGAUAGUUCUCUUAGCAGCUUCAGACGUCUGAAACACACCAACACCAGCUGAUCCCACAUGACUAUACAACAGGACAAGAUGAGGCUCAUGAAACAGAGACUUGAUACAUCAUGAACAAAAAUUAGUUAUAAAAGUCUAAGCUUACAGGACUGUUUCAAUGUCACAAAUAUAGGUGUGUGUGUUGCUGCCUUCUGAAAUAUUUCCACUCCCUAUUGGUAAUGUAUUAUAGAGUACUGCUAGCAGUAGACUUUGCUACUCUCUGCAGCCCUAUGUAAUCCAGACUAUUUUGUUUUCUUUGGGGAUGCAGAGCUGUCAUGAAGGUGAAGAGUGGCUGCUUUGAAGAGUCUCAAAUAUACAUUUAGAUUUGUUUAACACUUUUUUUGAUUACGGCAUGAUUUCAUCAAGUGUUAUUUCAUAGUUUUGAUGUCUUCACUAUUAUGCUACAAUGUAGAAAAUAGUACAAAUAAAGAAAAACCUUUGAAUGAGUUGGUGUGUCCAAACAUUUGACUGGUACUGUACAUUUUGUCCAAUGUUACUGUCAAAUGUGGCCUGGUAACAACAACUGGGAAAAGUACUAUCCACCUUACAGUUGGGCUGGUUGUAAAAGUUGAUGCUACAUGACGUUGUGGAUGUAACUGCAACGUCUGGGGCAUAUUACAGAAAUAUUUCACGUUAUUACAUGGUGCUUGGAGUCACUCUGUGAGACAGUUCAUUACAUUAAUGAUAUACCGUUGCUGCAACA